AAGUCGUAACAAGGUUUCCGUAGGUGAACCUGCGGAAGGAUCAUUAACACGUGUUCCCCACGUUUUACCAACCCAACCGUGCUCUUAUAAAACUAAUCUCCCAUGGCGAUUCAAGUGGUUGUUAUGAUCGAACUUAGGUGGUAAGUUUGGCUCUCAACCUGGGGUGAAAAACCCAAGCUUUGGAUCGAAAUGGCUUAUUUACCUAUUUCCCUAACCACCUUAGGGAUUAUUUUAACCCCUUAACCCCGUUUUUGUUAUGAACUAAUCUAUAUAUCAGGUCGAAAGGCUUGGUAUGGUUUUCACAAACCGCGUACAACUCUUAGCAGUGGAUAUCUAGGCUCUU
rnacentral:misc_RNA from 1 species